rnacentral:misc_RNA from 1 species
AGCUUCCUGACCAACUCUCAUAUCAAGCUCCAAAAAAUCACAUCUCAUUUCCAGGAGGUUUUAUCUUUCAGCCUUCAGGAACAAAGAAUAUUUUGCAGACGAUAUAUGCUUGUGGUACCUUUUCACAAAUGGUCCACGGCACAGAACUAAAGACCCUGUUUCUAAGUUGCUUUGAUAAAAUUGGCAAAGGAAAAUUACAGGAAAAGCUGCUCCACCUGUGCAUACACUAAUUUUGCGAAGCUUAAAAGCACCCACGCCUUUUCACUGACCAUUGUUGAUAAUUAGAGCUGACCAAUAAUUUCUGGCAGGCUGAAAAGGUGUAUGUUAUAUCUGAUCAAUUACGUACUUUCUGAAGAGGCAUAUGCACGUUACGGCCAUAUUCUGUCACUGUUGCCAUCCAUAUUGUUGGUUUCGGUUUCCGCCCAUCACAUUGGAGCCACGGCCA